AACCUCCGCAAUGUGAGAAAUCGCGACGGGGGGAUCCCAAGUGCCAUUCUUAACGGGAUGGCUUUUCAUUAGUGUAAAGAGCUUUUGGAAUAAGAGCUGGGCAAGACCGGUGCCAGCCGCCGCGGUAACACCGGCAGCUCUAGUGGUAACAAUUUUUAUUGGGCCUAAAGCGUCCGUAGCCGGUUUAAUAAGUCUCUGGUGAAAUCCUGCAGCUUAACUGUGGGAAUUGCUGGAGAUACUAUUAGACUUGAGACCGGGAGAGGUUAGAGGUACUCCCAGGGUAGAGGUGAAAUUCUGUAAUCCUGGGAGGACCGCCUGUUGCGAAGGCGUCUAACUGGAACGGUUCUGACGGUGAGGGACGAAAGUUAGGGGCGCGAACCGGAUUAGAUACCCGGGUAGUCCUAACUGUAAACGAUGCGGACUUGGUGUUGGGGUGGCUUUGAGCUGCUUCAGUGCCGAAGGGAAGCUGUUAAGUCCGCCGCCUGGGAAGUCGGUCGCAAGACUGAAACUUAAAGGAAUU
rnacentral:rRNA from 1 species